AAUUAACAGUGUGUGUGCACACAGAGGAAGAUUUUAUUUUCUUUAGCUUGCUGAGGAGCCUGUGGAGUAAAUCAUCAUCAUCAUCAUCAUCAUCAUCAUCAUCAUGAAUGCAGUCAUGAUAUCUGUCCUGUUUGUGAUGAGAAAUCAGACGGUACAGGAGGAACGUCUCAGAAAAUAAUACUGCAGUAAGAGGAAGUCCAUAUCGAGGCUGAAUCCGUAUCGAUUUCUUUUACAGUCCACACCAAAAUGAGAACCGGGGGCCGGAGAGACGUGAUUUGAAACAGGAAGUCGUGAUGUUGAGGUGCUUUACAUUACAGGAGACGGCGUGAGAGACACCUGAUACACGUGACGGUGUAGGGUCGACUAGACGACGCUGUGUUUCUGUUUAUUUAUUUAUUUGGAGCUACACCACCUUCACAUCUGAUGUGUCUGGUGGGAGAUAAAAAUCAUUUUACUGUUUCAUACUGAUGGAAUAAAGGACGGUGGAAAAACACACAGAGCUCCUACACUAGCACAAGACACGCCCAUCCCCCCAUCCCCCCACCCAGAGAUUUUGAUUGGAAUUUAUCCAUUUAAUUAUUUAUUUUGAUUCAUUUCCUCAUAUUUGCCUCCAGACGUGUUAAACUCCUUCGAUCAGUGUGCUUUUAGUAUAAAUCACCUAAAAUAUAGUUGUUAUAGUAAAAGUAUUGGAACAGAUUGUCUUUAAAUAAAUACCACUUCAUAUUUGGUUAUGCAAUAACUGUGUGUCUCCAUAUUAAUAUUUAUUCACAGAUUUCUAUAGUUUACCUUUAAACAUCUCACCUUUCCACAACGUAUCUGUCUGAAUUUGACUCGAUUUACAUUUCUGCUGUGUGUGUUUGUGUACACUCGGGGUCCUGUGCUUGGAUUAUAUUAAUUGCCCCAGCUGAGUGGUGCUGAUGUUGCUGUAAGGCGAGGAAUUGUGACCGGAGCCAUCAGCAUACAGAUGGGGUGUUAUGUUACUCUGGCGUGUCGGGAAUUUCUGAAUACGUCUGUCAAAUGCUGCAGAAUCCCUCGAGUCUCUGUGCCAGUCUUUAGUUCCCAGUUGACACAGCGUGGUGAGAGGAGAGGGAAAGAAAACUCUCUCACCUUGUCACAAAGGUGAGCACAAAGGUAUCUGUGUGUGUGUGUGUGUGUGUGUGUGUGUGUGUGUGUGU